rfam:Myotis brandtii contig262185, whole genome shotgun sequence.
GGUGGUUCUCGGAUGAUGUACCCCAGAAUCAGGCUCCCUCCUCUCUGGUUCCGGGUGCAUCACCUGAGAACUGCA